GUGCCUAAUACAUGCAAGUCGAGCGAGAAAACCGGGGCAACUCGGUGAGUACAGCGGCGGAAGGGUGCGUAAUACAUGGUUAACGUACCCCCCAGUUCGGGAUAACCCUCCGAAAGGUGGGCUAAUACCGGGUAAUGGCAGCGGGUGGCAUCAUUUGCUGCUUAAAGUCGUAAGACGCUGGGGGAGCGGACCAUGGCCUAUCAGCUAGUUGGCGGGGUAACGGCCCACCAAGGCGAUGACGGGUAGCCGGACUGAGAGGUUGAACGGCCACACGGGAACUGAGACACGGUCCCGACAUCUACGGAUGGCAGCAGUAGGGAAUCUUGCACAAUGGGCGAAAGCCUGAUGCAGCGACACCGCGUGGGGGAUGAAGGCCUUCGGGUUGUAAACCCCUUUCAUGAGGGAAGAAUACUGACCUAACCUCAGGAAGAAGCACCGGCUAACUCCGUGCCAGCAGCUGCGGUAAUACGGAGAGUGCAAACGUUGUUCGGAUUCACUGGGCGUAAAGGGCACGUAGGCGGCUCGGCAAAUCGGUCGUGGAAUCUCGACGCUUACCGUCGAAACGG
rnacentral:rRNA from 1 species